GCAACUCUGAAUGUCACCUUUGUUAUUAUAAAACGGGAUCAUAGUACUCCACCUCUAAGCCUCGGGCAUUUUCGCCGUCUUGAAAAUUCCGUUAAACAAUCCAGUCAACCACCUUAAACCAGCCUCGCCAGAAAACUUCCAAAAAUCCACAGGUAUCUCAUCAGGCCCCGUCGCCCUACCCCUUCGCAUCCUGCGAACAACCUUUCUAACCUUCUCUACCUUAAAACGUCUACAAUAACUAAAAUCCCGACACUCCUUUGAGUGCUCCAGCUCCCC
rnacentral:lncRNA from 1 species